CUUAUCGAGAGUGGCGGAGGGACAGGCCCAAGGAAGCCCGGCAACCGGAAAAACCGGUGCUAAAUCCUGCAGCGAAGGCUGAAAGAUGAGG
rnacentral:ncRNA from 1 species